GCAGUCUUAGUUCUGCUGCUGCCUAGUUAAGAUACCCUGGAGUCAAAUCACUUCAUCUGGGCUUCAUUUUCCUUAAAAGGGACAACAUGGGAUAUUACUGCUUACACAAUAGCACCUGCAAGAGGUAAUCUAUGAUGGCCCUGACCAAUGGGAUGCAGCAAAAACAAAGCAGGGCCAGCAUCAGGUCUGGCUGUUUCUGCUUUCUGCCACAUGAUGUGUGCCUUAAAAAGCCAUCCUGAGCAGUUGACCACUUUGCUCAAUUCCAGAAAGUUUCCAAGUGUCCUUGCUCCCUGAACUGGAAAAUCGCAAUGACCCAAGGGAAGAAAGUUGCUGAUAGUUAAAGACAAUCUUUUGGGAGGCCUUCCUCUUCUCCUGUUGGCUGGACUGAAGAUAAACGUGGACAGAUCAUCAGGAAAUAAAUAAGAAAGAUCUCGUUCUGUAAUUUUAUAUGUCAAAACAGAUGAUACCUUAAUAACAA